rnacentral:rRNA from 1 species
CAGUCGCCGCGGUAAUACAGAGGGUGCGAGCGUUAAUCGGAUUUACUGGGCGUAAAGCGUGCGUAGGCGGCUUCUUAAGUCGGAUGUGAAAUCCCUGAGCUUAACUUAGGAAUUGCAUUCGAUACUGGGAAGCUAGAGUAUGGGAGAGGAUGGUAGAAUUCCAGGUGUAGCGGUGAAAUGCGUAGAGAUCUGGAGGAAUACCGAUGGCGAAGGCAGCCAUCUGGCCUAAUACUGACGCUGAGGUACGAAAGCAUGGGGAGCAAACAGGAUUAGAUACCCCCGUAGUCCCUGUCUCUUAUAA